rnacentral:rRNA from 1 species
GCGUAAAGAGCUCGUAGUUGGUGUUCACCUCUCUGUGAAACACAACACUAACAUGCGCGUGCAGCAGGUACUGCCUGACUAGAGUGCAGUAGUAGAGUCUUGAAUACUUGGUGUAGCGGUGAAAUGCGCAGAUAUCAGCAGGAGCACCGGUGGCGAAGACGGGACUCUUGUCUGUAACUGACACUGAGGAGCGAAAGCAUGGGGAGCGAACAGGAUGAGAUAACCUCGUAGUACAUCCCGUAAACGUUGUGCACUAGGUGUGGGGGGCAUUACACGUUCUCCGCGCCGUAGCUAACGCAUUAAGUACUCCGCCUCGGGAGUACUGUCGCAAGGCUAAUACUCAUAGGAAUUGACGGGGGCCCGCACAAGCGGCGGAGCAUCCGGAUUAAUUCGAUGCAACGCGAAGAACCUUACCAAGGCUUGACAUACACCGGACCGUCCUGGAAACAGGAUUUCUUCUUUGAAGCUGGUGUACAGGUGGUGCAUGGUUGUCGUCAGCUCGUGUCGUGAGAUGUUGGGUUAAGUCCCGCAACGAGCGCAACCCUCGUUGUAUGUUGCCAGCACGUGAUGGUGGGAACUCAUAGGAGACUGCCGGGGUCAACUCGGAGGAAGGUGGGGAUGACGUCAAAUCAUCAUCCCCUUUAUGUCUUGGGCUUCACGCAUGCUACAAUGGCUGGUACAGAGAGAGGCGAACCCGUGAGGGCAAGCGAAUCCCUUAAAGCCAGUCUCAGUUCGGAUCGUAGUCUGCAAUUCGACUACGUGAAGUCGGAGUCGCUAGUAAUCGCAGAUCAGCAACGCUGCGGUGAAUACGUUCCCGGGCCUUGUACACACCGCCCGUCAAGUCACGAAAGUCGGUAACACCACGAAGCCGGUGGCCUAACCCCUUAGGGAGG